rnacentral:rRNA from 1 species
UACGUAGGGUCCGAGCGUUGUCCGGAGUUACUGGGCGUAAAGCGCGCGCAGGCGGCGACGCGCGCCCGGCGUGAAAGCCCCCGGCUCAACCGGGGAGGGUCGUCGGGGACAGCGUCGCUUGAGGACGGCAGGGGCUGGUGGAAUGCCCGGUGUAGUGGUGAAAUGCGUAGAGAUCGGGCAGAACACCCGUGGCGAAGGCGGCCAGCUGGGCCGGGCCUGACGCUGAGGCGCGAAGGCGUGGGGAGCGAACGGG